UCCGGUUUGUCACCGGCAGUCUCAUUAGAGUGCCCAACUAAAUGUAGCAACUAAUGACAAGGGUUGCGCUCGUUGCGGGACUUAACCCAACAUCUCACGACACGAGCUGACGACAGCCAUGCAGCACCUGUGUUACGGUUCUCUUUCGAGCACUAAGCCAUCUCUGGCAAAUUCCGUACAUGUCAAAGGUGGGGAUGACGUGAGCCUAUCGAGA
rnacentral:misc_RNA from 1 species